rfam:Lutispora thermophila DSM 19022 genome assembly, contig: EJ66DRAFT_scaffold00037.37
CUGAAAUUGAAUAUAGUACCGUAGACAGUAGGUGCGUAAUGCUUAAUUUCCUACCGAGGUUUUGAUCAUAAAUGAAAUUAUGACCUCUCUAUGUCUACGGAGAGGUCUUUUGUAUAAUCAA